AAGUUUUAAAUAAAUCAGAAACGUUUCCUUUUUAUAAUUUCAAACCAAGAAACGUUGGAACAAGUCUUAUAAUAAAUCCAUUCAUCAGUUCAAAAACGUUCAAAGCAGAUUCGUUCAAAUAAUUCCGGGAUCAGGUCCCGAUAAACAGGUCGAGAGCCCUCCAAGUAGGCUUUUAGCUCAGCGGAAGAUGUUGGUGUGCUCCAUUAGCUUCGGUGUUGCUUGUUUGUUUAGUAUGAUUUAGACGUGUAUUAUUUGGUAUGGCGGGACUCUAUCCCGACCUUUAUGACAUUUAUGUACUCUUAGAGACUUGUAGACAUAUGUCGUAUACAUGAAAGAUUAUACAGCCUUGUCUGCCUA